rnacentral:rRNA from 1 species
CACUCCUGCGGGAGGCAGCAGUGGGGAAUAUUGGACAAUGGGCGCAAGCCUGAUCCAGCCAUGCCGCGUGAGUGAUGAAGGCCCUAGGGUUGUAAAGCUCUUUCACCGGAGAAGAUAAUGACGGUAUCCGGAGAAGAAGCCCCGGCUAACUUCGUGCCAGCAGCCGCGGUAAUACGAAGGGGGCUAGCGUUGUUCGGAAUUACUGGGCGUAAAGCGCACGUAGGCGGAUCGAUCAGUCAGGGGUGAAAUCCCAGGGCUCAACCCUGGAACUGCCUUUGAUACUGUCGAUCUGGAGUAUGGAAGAGGUGAGUGGAAUUCCGAGUGUAGAGGUGAAAUUCGUAGAUAUUCGGAGGAACACCAGUGGCGAAGGCGGCUCACUGGUCCAUUACUGACGCUGAGGUGCGAAAGCGUGGGGAGCAAACAGGAUUAGAAACCCUUGUAGUCCCA